UACGUAGGGUGCAAGCGUUAAUCGGAAUUACUGGGCGUAAAGCGUACGCAGGCGGCUUUGCAAGACAGGUGUGAAAUCCCCGGGCCUAACCCGGGAACUGCAUUUGUGACUGCAUGGCUAGAGUUUGUCAGAGGGGGGUGGAAUUCCACGUGUAGCAGUGAAAUGCGUAGAUAUGUGGAGGAACACCGAUGGCGAAGGCAGCCCCCUGGGAUGUGACUGACGCUCAUGUACGAAAGCGUGGGGAGCAAACAGG
rnacentral:rRNA from 1 species